AUAGAUAAAGCAAAUUAUGCACUUGACUUAGAAUCAAGAAUAUGUAGAAUCAUUCUACUAUCUAAA
rnacentral:tRNA from 1 species